rnacentral:rRNA from 1 species
ACUCCUACGGGAGGCAGCAGUGGGGAAUAUUGGACAAUGGGGGAAACCCGUGAUCCAGCCAUGCCGCGUGUGUGAAGAAGGCCUUCGGGUUGUAAAGCACUUUCAGUGGGGAGGAAAGGUUGCAGGUUAAUACCCUGUAGCUGUGACGUUACCCACAGAAGAAGCACCGGCUAACUCCGUGCCAGCAGCCGCGGUAAUACGGAGGGUGCAAGCGUUAAUCGGAAUUACUGGGCGUAAAGCGUGCGCAGGCGGUCUGUUAAGCGAGAUGUGAAAGCCCCGGCUGCAACCUCGGGAAGCUGCAUUUCGAACUUGGCAGACUAGAGUCUUG